GAUUUCUGGCCUGAAACAUUUUGCCGGCCACGGUUUCGUGUGUCAGUGCUUGAUGUUCUGGCCAUCCUUCCAAUCGCUACUGAUCUUUCUUCAUUGAUUGGUCAGUGGUAUUGGAUCUUUUACUUUGAAAAAAUUAGAGUGUUUCAAGCAGGCUUUAUGCUAUGAAUACAUUAGCAUGGAAUAAUAAUUUAGGACUUCGGUUCUAUUUUGUUGGUUUCUAGGACUGAAGUAAUGAUUGAUAGGGAUAGUUUGGGGGUGCUAGUAUUCAGCGGCCAGAGGUGAAAUUCUUGGAUUCGCUGAAGACUAACUUAUGCGAAAGCAUU
rnacentral:rRNA from 1 species